rnacentral:hammerhead_ribozyme from 1 species
AUCCAGCUGACGAGUCCAUAAUAAGAUGAAACGGGCGUCCUGGAU